rnacentral:rRNA from 1 species
UACGUAGGGUGCAAGCGUUAAUCGGAAUUACUGGGCGUAAAGCGUGCGCAGGCGGUUUUGUAAGUUUUGUCGUGAAAUCCCCGGGCUCAACCUGGGAAUGGCGAUGAAGACUGCAAGGCUAGAAUCUGGCAGAGGGGGGUAGAAUUCCACGUGUAGCAGUGAAAUGCGUAGAGAUGUGGAGGAACACCGAUGGCGAAGGCAGCCCCCCUGGGUCAAGAUUGACGCUCAUGCACGAAAGCGUGGGGAGCAAACAGG